GGGGCAUUAGCUCAGUUGGCUAGAGUGCUUGCAUGGCAUGCAAGAGGUCGGCGGUUCGAGCCCGCCAUGCUCCA
rnacentral:tRNA from 1 species